GACAGAGGGUGCUAGCGUUGUUCGGAAUUACUGGGCGUAAAGGGCGCGUAGGCGGCCUUCUAAGUCGAACGUGAAAUCUCCGGGCUUAACCCGGAAAGGUCAGCCGAUACUGCGGGGCUAGAGUGCAGAAGGGGCAACUGGAAUUCUCGGUGUAGCGGUGAAAUGCGUAGAUAUCGAGAGGAACACCUGCGGCGAAGGCGGGUUGCUGGGCUGACACUGACGCUGAGGCGCGAAAGCUAGGGGAGCGAACGGG
rnacentral:rRNA from 1 species